UUUUUGUCAUUGAAAAGGAAAAAUUUUGUUUCAUUUCACAAAAGUAAUGAAUUCAUUUCAUAAAGAGUUAUUUAGUUGAACUUCUCUAAGUAAAUGGAAGAGAAUACAAAGUAAAUACUGAAUCUUUCCCAGGUACGUCAUAGCGUCUUCAGCGUAUUCGUGCAUGUGGCGUGGGCUUCCGAUAUAAGAUGAUGGGAGAAUUGUCAGACGUCCAAUAUUUUGAA